rnacentral:rRNA from 1 species
GCCUGCCCUGUGACUAUAUGUUUAACGGCCGCGGUAUUUUGACCGUGCGAAGGUAGCGCAAUCACUUGUCUCUUAAAUGGAGACCUGUAUGAAAGGCAUCACGAGGGCUUAGCUGUCUCCCCUUUAAAGUCAAUGAAAUUGAUCUCCCCGUGCAGAAGCGGGGAUACGCUCGUAAGACGAGAAGACCCUAUGGAGCUUAAGAUAUAAAGCGACCCAUGUCAAACACCCCUUCAAAGGAGAUGAACAUAAUGAGCCUCGCCGAAAUAUCUUCGGUUGGGGCGACCGCGGGGAAAGACAAAACCCCCACAUGGACUGGGGCAACAUUUGGCCCUAAAACCUAGACCCACACGUCGAAUCAACAGUAUUUCUGACCACCAAAGAGCCGGCAAUGCCGAUCAACGGACCGAGUUACCCUAGGGAUAACAGCGCAAUCCCCUCCCAGAGCCCUUAUCGACAAGGGGGUUUACGACCUCGAUGUUGGAUCAGGACAUCCUAAUGGUGCAGCCGCUAUUAAGG